rnacentral:rRNA from 1 species
GACGAACGCUGGCGGCGUGCUUAACACAUGCAAGUCGAACGGAAAGGCCCUGCUUGCAGGGUACUCGAGUGGCGAACGGGUGAGUAACACGUGGGUGAUCUGCCCUGCACUUCGGGAUAAGCCUGGGAAACUGGGUCUAAUACCGGAUAGGAGCCAUUUUUAGUGUGAUGGUUGGAAAGUUUUUUCGGUGUAGGAUGAGCUCGCGGCCUAUCAGCUUGUUGGUGGGGUAAUGGCCUACCAAGGCGGCGACGGGUAGCCGGCCUGAGAGGGUGGACGGCCACAUUGGGGCUGAGUUGCGGCCCAGACUCCUACGGGAGGCAGCAGUGGGGAAUAUUGCACAAUGGGCGCAAGCCUGAUGCAGCGACGCCGCGUGGGGGAUGACGGCCUUCGGGUUGUAAACUCCUUUCGCUAGGGACGAAGCUUUUUGUGACGGUACCUAGAUAAGAAGCACCGGCUAACUACGUG